UACAGAGGUGGCAAGCGUUGUUCGGAAUUACUGGGCGUAAAGCGCACGUAGGCGGCUUUCUAAGUCGGGGGUGAAAUCCUGGAGCUCAACUCCAGAACUGCCUUCGAUACUGGAAGCUCGAGUCCGGGAGAGGUGAGUGGAACUGCGAGUGUAGAGGUGAAAUUCGUAGAUAUUCGCAAGAACACCAGUGGCGAAGGCGGCUCACUGGCCCGGUACUGACGCUGAGGUGCGAAAGCGUGGGGAGCAAACAGGG
rnacentral:rRNA from 1 species